CGGACGGGUGAGUAAUGUCUGGGAAACUGCCUGAUGGCGGGGGAUAACUACUGGAAACGGUAGCUAAUACCGCAUAAUGUCUACGGACCAAAGAGGGGGACCUUCGGGCCUCUUGCCAUCGGAUGUGCCCAGAUGGGAUUAGCUAGUAGGUAAGGUAACGGCUUACCUAGGCGACGAUCCCUAGCUGGUCUGAGAGGAUGAUCAGCCACACUGGGACUGAGACACGGCCCAG
rnacentral:rRNA from 1 species